rnacentral:rRNA from 1 species
GAUGAACGCUGGCGGCGUGCCUAAUACAUGCAAGUCGAGCGAACGGACGAGAAGCUUGCUUCUCUGAUGUUAGCGGCGGACGGGUGAGUAACACGUGGAUAACCUACCUAUAAGACUGGGAUAACUUCGGGAAACCGGAGCUAAUACCGGAUAAUAUUUUGAACCGCAUGGUUCAAAAGUGAAAGACGGUCUUGCUGUCACUUAUAGAUGGAUCCGCGCUGCAUUAGCUAGUUGGUAAGGUAACGGCUUACCAAGGCAACGAUGCAUAGCCGAACUGAGAGGGUGAUCGGCGGCACUAGAGCGGGUACGCCGUCAAGGCUCCUACGGGAGGCAGCAGUAGGGAAUGGUACGCAACGGUCGGAAGCCUGACGGAACAGCGGCACGUGUGUGGUAGAGAUCUUCGGAGCGUAAUACUCUGUUAUUAGUUAAAAACAUCUGUGGAAGGAAAUGUGGAGAACUUGACGGUACCUAGUCAGAAAGCCACGGCUAACUACGUG